UACGUAGGGCGCAAGCGUUGUCCGGAAUUAUUGGGCGUAAAGAGCUCGUAGGCGGUCUGUUACGUCCGCUGUGAAAACCCAGGGCUUAACCCUGGGCUUGCAGUGGAUACGGGUAGACUAGAGGCAGGUAGGGGAGAAUGGAAUUCCCGGUGUAGCGGUGAAAUGCGCAGAUAUCGGGAGGAACACCGGUGGCGAAGGCGGCUCUCUGGUACGUGACUGACGCUGAGACGCGAAAGCGUGGGGAGCGAACAGG
rnacentral:rRNA from 1 species